rnacentral:tRNA from 1 species
GCUAAGUUGGCAGAAUAGUGCAUUUGAUUUAGAUUCUUAAUAAAAAAGUUAUCUUUUACUUAGUA